rnacentral:rRNA from 1 species
UACGGAGGAUCCAAGUGUUAUCCGGAUUUAUUGGGUUUAAAGGGUGCGUAGGUGGCCUGUUAAGUCAGGGGUGAAAGACGGUAGCUUAACUAUCGCAGUGCCCUUGAUACUGAUGGGCUUGAAUGAACUAGAGGUAGGCGGAAUGUGACAAGUAGCGGUGAAAUGCAUAGAUAUGUCACAGAACACCAAUUGCGAAGGCAGCUUACUAUGGUUUUUAUUGACACUGAGGCACGAAAAGCGUGGGGGAGUCA